AUGAAUCUUCAUGAAACUUAAUCUUUAAUUUUUGAAUUGGUAUUCAUGAAAUGAUGAUUUAACUAAUUUUAAUAAUUAGUAGAUUAGCAAUUUUUCAAGAAAUGCCUGACACCAUUAUUUAUGAACUUCAACUGUUUUUUAAUUUUUCUAAUGGAAAAAACUUUUUUAAAGUUCAAUUUCGGUAAUAAGUUUACAGCUGUUGGUAUCCUAUUCAAUCUGACAUUGAGGAUACUAGUAUUUCUCCAUAAGUAAGCAAUGUGAUGUGCUUGGAACAUCAUCAAUAGAUCAAUGUACUAGCAAAAAGGUAAUGGUACAGAAUGUCCCAACUUGGUUGAAUUGAAGUUCCCUUGCACUAUCCUUUAGAUAAACGGCCAAUGUAGGAAUCAGUUUGUAAAGAGGUAGUAUAUAACACGCUUCGAUGUAUAAGCUUAUUGUCUUGGUGUGUGGUAGGCCUGCCCACAAAGCAACAGAGCACUCACUUCCAGUAAGCAUUAACCUCAUGUUUAUAAUUUUAUAUACUUUAAGUCGGCACUUCUACAUUUUGUUGCCUGCAAACAACAAUAUAACGAGUGCUUACGAUAUUCGUUUACAUUAUAUAUGCCAUUUGAUUACGAUCACAGUUAAUGUCUUGAAGUGGUGUAUAAAAGAUAAGAGUUGAGUUCGGAAAAUAACGUUUGAAAGAUAAAUGUGUAAUCAAACUAAAUUCUGUAACCUGGCCUUUGGAAAUUGCUUCUUCUUCUCCAGUAUUGCCAUCACACUCAGCAAAUUGAGUAGGAGUACUUGGGAUAUCAUCAGUACCACGGAGAGGCUUAAACAAGAGUGUCAGAUCACUACUCAACGCCAAGAGAUUGUUAAUUCGUCUCUCAUCAGUUUUCUGACGAAGAGAUACAAAACAGCUACCCUUACGUUACUAUACGAGUAUAUUGUAUAUUUUUAAUAAUUUAUUUCAUCACCAAUAAAUUUUAUCACUGAUGAUAAAUGUUUGGACAACUUAUCCUUCAACUAAAAUGUUUUACCUAGCCUGUCAAACUUAAUCUCAUAAUUUAAUUUGUAUAAGAGAUGGAAAUAUUCCAUGCAUGCAUCAUAGACAAACUGUUGAAAGAUGGAUAACAAUUUACUAUUUAGCAAGCAAAACUCAUCACAUGGUAUUUGUAUAUGUUAUAGCACAUUAGUUUGUGGGUUGUUGUGUUAAAAUUUUAGUAUGAUUGCUUUGUUUGAUUUAUUCUGUUGUUCUCUCAAUAUUUAUUGUAUUUUCUUCUAUAAGCUUUUGUGGUUUGCUUACCCUGACUACUGCUGAAACCUAUCUGAUUUGGCAUGUGGAUGGGGUUACGACAAUGAUGUUGCUCAGAGAACAAGGUCUGAUGCUUUUGCAGCUGCAGUUGCGAAACAUGCUAAGAAAUGGAAGUCUUCAGCUCCGUCAUAGCCCUAGAAUUACAAAACAAGCUUGAAUUCGAAGUUGAUAGAAAUAUUAGCGAAGCACAAUAGUGUACCAGAACUGCAUAAAAGUCCUAGCACGCUCGAAUUCGAAAUAAGCUGGCUAUGAGAAUGAAUGGAAAAGAAGAUGUCGCUACGAAUCCUAGAAAGAGCUGAAGGAAACUUCAUGACAAUACAUUAAAAGGCAGCUUUCCUUGAAAGAGAAGUGGAGCUGCUGAACCUUACCUACCUUCAUCAUUAUUCGUUUAUUAACAUUGUUGCUGAUCAGGAUUUUCAAAGCAUUAUGAUUGAUUCAUUAACCAAACAUAUAUUGGUGGAUUUGUUACUCAUUUGUAAGUUAUAUACUCUCUACCUUCGGAAGUUAUUUGCAUACCUGUCCAUGUUGAAACACA